rnacentral:rRNA from 1 species
GACGAACCGUGCAAACGUUAUUCGGAAUCACUGGGCUUAAAGGGCGCGUAGGCGGGCUAUCAAGUCCGGGGUGAAAUCCUCCAGCUCAACUGGAGAACGGCCUCGGAUACUGAUGGUCUCGAGGAGGAUAGGGGCACACGGAACUGUGGGUGGAGCGGUGAAAUGCGUUGAUAUCCAUAGGAACUCCGGUGGCGAAAGCGACGUGCUGGACCUCUUCUGACGCUGAGGCGCGAAAGCCAGGGGAGCAAACGGG